AGUGAACGCUGGCGGUAGGCCUAACACAUGCAAGUCGAACGGUAGCACAGUAAGAGCUUGCUCUUACGGGUGGCGAGUGGCGGACGGGUGAGGAAUACAUCGGAAUCUACUUUUUCGUGGGGGAUAACGUAGGGAAACUUACGCUAAUACCGCAUACGACCUACGGGUGAAAGCAGGGGAUCUUCGGACCUUGCGCGAUUGAAUGAGCCGAUGUCGGAUUAGCUAGUUGGCGGGGUAAAGGCCCACCAAGGCGACGAUCCGUAGCUGGUCUGAGAGGAUGAUCAGCCACACUGGAACUGAGACACGGUCCAGACCCCUACGGGAGGCAGCAGUGGGGAAUAUUGGACAAUGGGCGCAAGCCUGAUCCAGCCAUACCGCGUGGGUGAAGAAGGCCUUCGGGUUGUAAAGCCCUUUUGUUGGGAAAGAAAAGCAGCAGGUUAAUACCCCGCUGUUCUGACGGUACCCAAAGAAUAAGCACCGGCUAACUUCGUG
rnacentral:rRNA from 1 species